rnacentral:rRNA from 1 species
ACCUCAAAACUAGCCUAACCAAUUAUUAAACAUAACCCCAUUAAUUAAAUUCACACUCUUCCAAAAAUUAAAACAUUUUACAACUUUUAGUAUGGGUGACAGAACAAAGACCUAAGCGCAAUAGAUUUGAGUACCGCAAGGGAAAGUUGAAAAAGAAAUGAAAUAAAUAAUUAAAGUACAAAAAAGCAGAGAUUAAACCUCGUACCUUUUGCAUCAUGAUUUAGCUAGACCAACUAGGCAAAGAGACCUUAAGCCUAUCAUCCCGAAACUAGACGAGCUACUCCAGAGCAGCAUGAAAGAGCAAACCCAUCUCUGUGGCAAAAGAGUGGGAAGACUCCCGAGUAGCGGUGACAAACCUAUCGAGCCUAGUGAUAGCUGGUUACCCAAAAAAAGAACUUCAAUUCUGCAUUAACUUUUUUAAUGUCAACUAAGAACAUCUCCAAAAGACUGAACAUAAAAAUUAAUAGUUAUUCAAAAAAGGUACAACUUUUUUGAAUCAAGAUACAACUUUUCAAGGUGGGUAAUGAUCAUAUUUACCAAGGACCAUUCCAUCAGUGGGCCUAAAAGCAGCCAUCUGUAAAGCAAGCGUCAUAGCUCCAGCCCAUAAUGAAACCUAUAAUUUAGAUAUUAUUUCCAAACCCCCUUAACCAAUAUUGGGUUAUUUUAUAAGAUUAUAAAAGAACUUAUGCUAAAAUGAGUAAUAAGAGGCUAAACCUCUCCCAACACCAGUGUAUAUCAGAAAGAAUUAAAUCACUGAUAAUUAAACGACCUCAAACUGAGAAAAUUAUAGAAAUUUAUUAUUAACUAGAAAAACCUAUUUAAUUACUCGUUAAUCCUACACAGGAGUG